GUUCGAAUCCCGUUGCCCCCGCGUAUCGUCGUGCGAUUGUAUUGGAGCUGGUUAGCUUCUCUGAGCCGCACGUUUCCCGUCGUCCCCGGAGCGUCGCUGUGAUGCUCAGAUGGCGAGCACCUGUGGUGACCGCCCCAUCACCUGGAGCUGCUACAGCGGCCCUGGCGCGCCAGGGUAGGAUGGCAUCCAGGUGUUAGGAUUUGGCAGAUCCCUCCGUGAACUCUGGGUUCCUCCCGACCAGCGGCCCUCAAAGCUUUUGAUCUCAGGAUCCCCUUUCCCUCCUAAAAAUUAUUGAGGACCUCAAAGACUUUUUUUUUUUAAAUAUAGGUUAAAUCUAUUGAUACUGACUAUUUAAAAUUAAAACAAAGUUUUAAAAUAGUUAUUAACUAGAAAAUAACCAUAAUAAACCCAUUACAUGUUAACGAAUAUAAAUUUUUUUUUUUUCUGAACAAACAAAAUGGAGUAGUGCCCAUGUUUUGUAUUUUUGCAGACCUCUUUCCCAUCGGGCUUAAUGGAAUUCUCAUGCCUGUGUUAUACUUGCUUCUGCAUUCAGUCUGACAUGUCAGACCCUGAUAGGAUCAUCUAAGAUUCUAAUAUCCCUAAGGCUCUCAGAGCUAACUGACCUACGACACUUUGAGAACUGCUCCAAACAAAUAACCUUUUUCUUUGAUCCCCAUAACUGAUUUGCCUUCCUCCGCCUUCUGUCAUAGCCUUUGUGUGCAUCUCCACCCUCUUCUAGUCAAGGCCCUUUCUUGCAUGAGGCACAUAGUACCGCUGCAGCAUUGUCCAGAUUGAGUGACCUGACAGCUGGUAUGGGUGGCUAUCAGAAAACUCAGAAUUAAUGCAGCACUGCCGGUUAAGAGCAAAGGGUGGUGCGUAACUCUUUCACUGUUUGAGACAGAUAGUCUUUUAAAUAAAUGAAACAGUUGCAACUUGAUCUUAGCAGAUGAUAUAUUUAUGUUCUUUUUAAAAAAUGUUUGUUUUUGUUUAUUGAUUUCAGAGAGGGAGAGAGAGAGAGAGAAGCAUCAAUGAUGAAAGAGAAUCAUGAUGGGCUGCCUCCCGCAUGUCCCCCACUGGGGACUGUAACCCAGGCGUGUGCCCUGACCAGGAAUUGAACCAUGACCUCCUGGUUCGUAGGUCGAUGAUCAAAUACUGAGCCACUCCAGCGAGGCUAGAUUUUUGUUUU